AGCGAACGCUGGCGGCAGGCCUAACACAUGCAAGUCGAACGAAGUCUUCGGACUUAGUGGCGGACGGGUGAGUAACACGUGGGAACGUACCCUUUGGUACGGAAUAGCCCCGGGAAACUGGGAGUAAUACCGUAUGUGCCCUUCGGGGGAAAGAUUUAUCGCCAAAGGAUCGGCCCGCGUUGGAUUAGGUAGUUGGUGGGGUAAUGGCCUACCAAGCCGACGAUCCAUAGCUGGUUUGAGAGGAUGAUCAGCCACACUGGGACUGAGACACGGCCCAGACUCCUACGGGAGGCAGCAGUGGGGAAUCUUAGACAAUGGGGGAAACCCUGAUCUAGCCAUGCCGCGUGAUCGAUGAAGGCCUUAGGGUUGUAAAGAUCUUUCAGUGGGGAAGAUAAUGACUGUACCCACAGAAGAAGCCCCGGCUAACUCCGUGCCAGCAGCCGCCGUAAAAC
rnacentral:rRNA from 1 species